rnacentral:rRNA from 1 species
AGCGAACGCUGGCGGCAGGCCUAACACAUGCAAGUCGAACGAACCUUUCGGGGUUAGUGGCGGACGGGUGAGUAACACGUGGGAACGUGCCUUUAGGUUCGGAAUAACUCAGGGAAACUUGUGCUAAUACCGAAUGUGCCCUUCGGGGGAAAGAUUAAUCGCCUUUAGAGCGGCCCGCGUCUGAUUAGCUUGUUGGUUGAGGUAAUGGCUCACCAAGGCGACGAUCAGUAGCUGGUCUGAGAGGAUGAUCAGCCACAUUGGGACUGAGACACGGCCCAAACUCCUACGGGAGGCAGCAGUGGGGAAUCUUGCGCAAUGGGCGAAAGCCUGACGCAGCCAUGCCGCGUGAAUGAUGAAGGUCUUAGGAUUGUAAAAUUCUUUCACCGGUGACGAUAAUGACGGUACCCGGAGAAGAAGCCCCGGCUAACUUCGUG